AUUGAACGCUGGCGGCAUGCCUUACACAUGCAAGUCGAACGGCAGCACGGACUUCGGUCUGGUGGCGAGUGGCGAACGGGUGAGUAAUGUAUCGGAACGUACCUUUCAGUGGGGGAUAACGUAGCGAAAGUUACGCUAAUACCGCAUAUUCUGUGAGCAGGAAAGCAGGGGAUCGAAAGACCUUGCGCUGAUUGAGCGGCCGAUAUCAGAUUAGCUAGUUGGUGGGGUAAAGGCCUACCAAGGCGACGAUCUGUAGCGGGUCUGAGAGGAUGAUCCGCCACACUGGAACUGAGACACGGUCCAGACUCCUACGGGAGGCAGCAGUGGGGAAUUUUGGACAAUGGGGGCAACCCUGAUCCAGCCAUGCCGCGUGAGUGAAGAAGGCCUUCGGGUUGUAAAGCUCUUUCGGCCGGGAAGAAAUCGCAUAGGCUAAUACCCUGUGUGGAUGACGGUACCGGAAUAAGAAGCACUGGCUAACUACGUG
rnacentral:rRNA from 1 species